rnacentral:rRNA from 1 species
GACGAACGCUGGCGGCGUGCUUAACACAUGCAAGUCGAACGGUGAAGCCCUUCGGGGUGGAUCAGUGGCGAACGGGUGAGUAACACGUGGGAAAUCUGCCCUGCACUCUUGGACAAGCCUUGGGAACGAGGUCUAAUACCGGAUAUGACCUUCUCCUGCCUGGGGGUGGGGGGAAUGCUCCGGCGGUGCAGGAUGAUCCCGCGGGCUAGCAGCUUGUUGGGGGGGUAACGGCCCACCAAGGCGACGACGGGUAGCCGGCCUGAGAGGGCGACCGGCCACACUGGGACUGAGACACGGCCCAGACUCCUACGGGAGGCAGCAGUGGGGAAUAUUGCACAAUGGGCGAAAGCCUGAUGCAGCGACGCCGCGUGAGGGAUGACGGCCUUCGGGUUGUAAACCUCUUUCAGCAGGGAAGAAGCGCAAGUGACGGUACCUGCAGAAGAAGCACCGGCUAACUACGUGCCAGCAGCCGCCGUAAAAC